rnacentral:rRNA from 1 species
UGGGGAAUUUUGCACAAUGGGCGCAAGCCUGAUGCAGCGACGCCGCGUGAGGGAUGAAGGCCUUCGGGUUGUAAACCUUUUUCGCUCAUGGUCAAGCCGCAGCUUUGGGUUGUGGUGAGGGUAGUGGGUAAAGAAGCGCCGGCUAACUACGUGCCAGCAGCCGCGGUAAUACGUAGGGCGCGAGCGUUGUCCGGAAUUAUUGGGCGUAAAGGGCUUGUAGGCGGUUGGCCGCGUCUGCCGUGAAAUCCUCUGGCUUAACUGGGGGCGUGCGGUGGGUACGGGUUGACUUGAGUGCGGUAGGGGAGACUGGAAUUCCUGGUGUAGCGGUGGAAUGCGCAGAUAUCAGGAGGAACACCGGUGGCGAAGGCAGGUCUCUGGGCUGUUACUGACGCUGAGAAGCGAAAGCGUGGGGAGCGAACAGG